CUUGGAGUCUUGGACCACUCUUCCCCUUCUCGAACAAGUCUAUCCCCUGUUUCGAUGGAUGAUUUUUGGUUCAUACAUUUUUUUCUUUAAAAAGACUUUUGCAGUGAAGCGAUCAAGCUCAAUUUUUUUCUGUUAGUAUCUCUUUACUAAUCUCACCAUGCAGGUUCUUGUUUUGAUUGUGCGUCUAGCUUAUGGGCUCAUGGCUUUUGGAUUCGAGUCUUCAUUUCCACGUCCAUUACUGUCAAUUCAGAAUAUGUACAAGGAUCUUGAAGUGUUGGAGGGAUUGUCUUGUGGAUGGAGAGAUUGUCUUGUGGAUGGAAAGAUGUGUUUAUGAUAGGAUUGGUGGCUUCCAGAGAAAUGUAACCAUGGACUUGUAACUGAUUUUUUGCUUCCCCGUUCCUUUUAUGGAUACAUCUUGGUUAGGGUGUUUGAUAACUAGUAAUUUUCUAGAAAAGUUGGACUCGCCUAUAGUUAUUAGUGUUUUAAAUAAAUUAUCCGUUUAGUAUGGCGUUUCUGUCUGUUGUUCUCUACCUUGCAUUAUUAGUGUUGGAUUCAUGUAGUCGACCCGUAUAGUUGGGAUAAGGCAUGGAUGAUGAUGAUGAUCUGAUGGAAUAAAUGAUAACAUUUGUGGAUUGUUAAAAUGUGA